rnacentral:rRNA from 1 species
CCUACGGGGGGCGGCAGUAGGGAAUAUUAGUAAUGGGCGAAAGCCUGAACUAGCAACGCCGCGUGUGCGAAGAAGGCCUUCGGGUUGUAAAGCACUUUUUGAGAGGAUGAGGAAGGACGGUACUCUCAGAAUAAGUCUCGGCUAACUACGUGCCAGCAGCCGCGGCAACACGUAGGAGGCGAACGUUAUCCGGAUUUACUGGGCGUAAAGCGCGUGUAGGUGGUUUGGUAAGUAGGGCGUGAAAGCUCCUGGCUCAACUGGGAGAGGCCGUUCUAAACUGCCGAACUAGAGGAUGGUAGAGGGAGGUGGAAUUCCGGGUGUAGCGGUGGAAUGCGCAGAUAUCCGGAGGAACACCAGUGGCGAAAGCGGCCUCCUGGACCACUCCUGACACUCAGACGCGAAAACUAGGGUAGCAAACGGGAUUAGAGACCCCGGUAGUCCUAGCCCUAAACGAUGUAGACUUGGCGUCGGUGGUUUAAACGCCAUCGGUGUCGAAGCUAACGCGAUAAGUCUACCGCCUGGGGACUACGGCCGCAAGGUUAAAACUCAAAGGAAUUGACGGGUCCCCGCACAAGCAGCGGAGCGUGUGGUUUAAUUCGUUGCUACACGAAGAACCUUACCUGGGUUUGACAUAGAGGUGGUAGGGAAGCGAAAGCGGACCGACCCUUCGGGGAGCCUCUACAGGUGUUGCAUGGCUCCUACGGGGGGCGGCAGUAGGGAAUAUUAGUAAUGGGCGAAAGCCUGAACUAGCAACGCCGCGUGUGCGAAGAAGGCCUUCGGGUUGUAAAGCACUUUUUGAGAGGAUGAGGAAGGACGGUACUCUCAGAAUAAGUCUCGGCUAACUACGUGCCAGCAGCCGCGGCAACACGUAGGAGGCGAACGUUAUCCGGAUUUACUGGGCGUAAAGCGCGUGUAGGUGGUUUGGUAAGUAGGGCGUGAAAGCUCCUGGCUCAACUGGGAGAGGCCGUUCUAAACUGCCGAACUAGAGGAUGGUAGAGGGAGGUGGAAUUCCGGGUGUAGCGGUGGAAUGCGCAGAUAUCCGGAGGAACACCAGUGGCGAAAGCGGCCUCCUGGACCACUCCUGACACUCAGACGCGAAAACUAGGGUAGCAAACGGGAUUAGAGACCCCGGUAGUCCUAGCCCUAAACGAUGUAGACUUGGCGUCGGUGGUUUAAACGCCAUCGGUGUCGAAGCUAACGCGAUAAGUCUACCGCCUGGGGACUACGGCCGCAAGGUUAAAACUCAAAGGAAUUGACGGGUCCCCGCACAAGCAGCGGAGCGUGUGGUUUAAUUCGUUGCUACACGAAGAACCUUACCUGGGUUUGACAUAGAGGUGGUAGGGAAGCGAAAGCGGACCGACCCUUCGGGGAGCCUCUACAGGUGUUGCAUGGCU